GCUUUAGACGAUUCAGCUACCUUCAUGCUAACGGAUUUCAUGUUUGUAGCAAUUUUAGGAUAUGUGCUAGAAGCUGACCUCCCAGCUUCACCUUGUGCCCUCCUACCACUUCUUUAUCUUGUCUCUGAGAAUUCUAAUUCAAAGUUCUCAGGAUAGGUUUUCAAAACAUGAAAUACCUUCUUAGUUAGCUCAUGUAUGGCACAAGCCUGUAAAAACGAAGAGGUUUCGUUCACUUGAUGGACUUUAUUUAUAUUUUCUAGUUGGAGAAUUCAGAUUAAACUUUCCGGAAGUUUUCAUAAGAUUGAAUUAGCAUACCUGUCUAAAAUAAAUGGCAGCUAUAGAAUUAAAAUGCAUUGCAUUUUCUGUUAUUAAGAAAGGCAUCAUGCUGCAAACAGUUCAUUAAUUAUCCGUUAGAUGACAAAUUUGGUGUGGCGUCUGUGUGUAUGGGCAGGAUUUGUUGGACUGUAGGCCAAGUUGUGCCUGGCAGGCCCCCUGUUUGUAUGCAUCUCAAUGUUGACAGGAUAGGAUAGUCUAGUUUCUAAAUACUAAAGCUUUCAAAUGUUAUGUCUUUUUCUAGCUGUGUGCUUGUAUUCCAUUAUUGGUGUUGAAUGUCUUCUGUAAUUAUAUUUGAAUUUCAGCAAUGUUGGACAUGGUGGGUGGUGUGUAUUCUUAGUUUUGAGAUUAACUUUCCCCUCUCAAGAAGCCAAAUUUCUUAGCUUGGGGCUUCUGCUGUCACUUAGAUUUAGGUUGAUUCUUUCAGAUUUUCAAACUCUGCUCCAAUUAGAAGCCUAGCAAUGCAUGUCAAUUUAAUAUGUCCAUGAUAUUUAUACUGUGAAAUUUUAAGGGUCUCUUCAACUGCUGUUUGGAUGGGUUUUGGCUUGGAGAACCUUGAUCUGGGGAAGCAAUCAACUUGUUUUCUUAUCCGAUAAGAGAGACUAUUCUGGUCUAAUCUUGAAGUUAUUGGUUAUGUGUGAAUUAGUGAGUUUCGUUAAUAACUGUUGUUGCUGGAAGUCUUUCAGUUAUGUAAAAUUUCUCUCUGAGCCUUGCUGGUUUCUGUUCAAUUGUGUUUUACGCACUGGUUUCUGUUCAGUGAUGCAAAGUUAACUCUUAUCUCUUUAUUUUUGCCUUCUUUCAGUUUGGUCUUAAAAGUGUUCUACUUGGAGAACCUUGAACUGGUGAAGCAUGCACAAUCAUGAGGUUAUUGGUUGUGUUGAAUUGCUCAUGAACAUUGUUGAUCUUCUUGUCUUGAAGAAAGGCAGCUAAUAUAAAACGGAUAGACUUUGCUUCGAAUGACCAAGAUAGAUCAUCUUGGUGAGGAGAUGGUGAGGAGUUUGGACCGUCGGCAUCAAAAUAAGACAUUCUCGGCAAUGUGUGCGCACUGUCAACGUCGUGUUCGGAUUGAUAGUGUCGCAGCAGAUGGACAGGGGACAUGGAAUGCAAGGGAGUGCCUGGUACACUGGUUGGACUAUUCUUGUUGUGUUUUAAGUGCUUCUUCGCCGAGAGGUGCCAUUUUUUGAUAGCAUUUGCCACUCUGUCGUUAAAGAUGGUAGGCUUCAUAGUUGAACCCAUCUGUUUGUGCACAGCAUGUAUAGUUAGAACUCAGUUCAUAUUUCUAAGUUUUUAGCAUCUAAUUUUGCAUAAUUGGCACCAUUUUUACCUGUGUUACCAAGGCAUAAAGAGGAAGAGUUACAUAGCUGCAUAGUAUUUGUAUGAUGACCCUGCACAAAAUAACAUGAAUCAAUGGACUUUUGGUAAGUUAAAUUCUCAUAAUAAA